GCAGGAUAUGGAUUAUUAUGGAAUCUGGAUGGACACUGAGCCUUUUACUGAACUUAUUGGACCUUACUGGUCUCUUCGAGCUGCUCUGGGUCCGGUAUUGGAAACGUGUAUUCUGCUUGACAGAUUACUAUUUCUCCAGGAGCAAGGUGGAUGCCUUGAAGCUAUGAUGCUACCUAUCUUUGACCCGAAUUUAUCUCCGAGGAAUGUGGCUAU
rnacentral:misc_RNA from 1 species